CAAGGCAAUAUUUUCCUUUUCCUUUUCCUAGAGAUUUAUCCUGCAAUAAAAUACAGUCUAUUGAAAGACAUACAUUUGAACCACUACCAUUUUUGAAGUUUAUAAAUCUUAGUUGCAAUGUAAUUACAGAACUCAGCUUUGGAACAUUUCAGGCCUGGCACGAAAUGCAGUUUUUACAUAAGUUGUAAGUGAAAUAGAAGAUGAAUACAUGUAAACAACUAUUUAUCUACAAAAACUCAUACAAUUAUUGGGUAGCUGGGUAUAAGCCCAUUAUCAACUCUGAAAAGCAUGUCUUAAGAUCCAUUCAUUUUUCUCAAAUGGGGAAGCUAAGGUACAAAGAGGCCAAGAGACUUACGCAGCUUAUAUAUGACCUCUGCUUGUCCUAGUUCUGACCUAUAGCAUGGGCAAGAAAAGGCAUCAAAGAAGUGACCCUCAAAUUAGCCUUGUUGCUGGGCGGGGUGGCUCAGACCUGUAAUCCCAGAACUUUGGGAGUCGAGGUGGGUGGAUCACCCGAGGUCAGGAAUUCAACACCAGCCUGGCCAACAUAGUGAAACCCUGUCCCUACUAUAAAUACAAAAAAAUUAGCUGGGCGUGGUGGUGCAGUUUUUUG
rnacentral:lncRNA from 1 species